rnacentral:rRNA from 1 species
ACUCAAAUGAAUUGACGGGGGCCCGCACAAGCGGUGGAGCAUGUGGUUUAAUUCGACGCAACGCGAAGAACCUUACCUGGGCUCGAAAUGGAGUGGACCGGAGUGGAAACAUUCCUUCCCCGCAAGGGGCUGCUCUAUAGGUGCUGCAUGGCUGUCGUCAGCUCGUGUCGUGAGAUGUUGGGUUAAGUCCCGCAACGAGCGCAACCCUUAUUACCAGUUGCCAUCAUUUAGUUGGGCACUCAGGUGAGACCGCCUCGGAUAACGGGGAGGAAGGCGGGGAUGACGUCAAGUCCUCAUGGCCUUUAUGUCCAGGGCUACACACGUGCUACAAUGGUCGGUACAAACCGUCGCAAACCCGUGAGGGGGAGCUAAUCGGAAAAAGCCGACCUCAGUUCGGAUUGUAGUCUGCAACUCGACUACAUGAAGCUGGAAUCGCUAGUAAUCGCGGAUCAGAACGCCGCGGUGAAUACGUUCCCGGGCCUUGCACACACCGCCCGU